UGAACGCUGGCGGCGUGCCUAACACAUGCAAGUCGAACGCGAAAGUUUCUCCAUUUCGGAAAGAGUAGAGUGGCGCACGGGUGAGUAACGCGUGUCUACCUACUGGGACAACAGUUGGAAACGACUGCUAAUACCGUAUACGCUGGUAAAAAGGGGGCUUCUUGAGCUCUCGCCAGUAGAUGAGUCCGCGUUUCAUUAGCUAGGGGGUAAUACCGUGGCAACGAUGAAUAGCAGGCCUGAGUGGCCUGCCACACUGGGACUGACGACUCCGGGAGGCAGCAGUGGGGUGACUUCAAUAUUGCGCAAUGGACGAAAGUCUGACGCAGACGCGGAGGAUGAUUUUCGGAUCGUAAACUCCUGUCAAGAGGGAAGAAUAAGCUCUUAGUAAUUGACGGUACCUCUAGAGGAAGCUAC
rnacentral:rRNA from 1 species